rnacentral:lncRNA from 1 species
CCUCAUUUCUUCCUUUCGGGGUUCUUUAUAAAACACCAAAUCUUUUCCCCUUAUUUUUUUCUCGAAACGCAUGACCUCCCAUCGACCAAGGCAUUACAUCUGGAAUCCAUCCUGGGUUGGAGGUGCUGGAGCGGGGUGACGUUCGAUGCAUCGGCAACGAUCAGACCUACAAAAAAAAUCUCCAUCGAAGUUAACUCUGGUGGGGACUCUCCGAUGUUUAAGUCAGAUCUUCCGCAAUAAGUGGAAAAGAGCGAGCAUUUAUGAGAAGGAGAGAAAGCAUACCUUUUUUAAGGUCCCCAGAUUACCUUUUAUAGGUGAAGUUAAAGCCUUGAGGAGAAGAAAGAGACCAUAAAAAACCUUUUUGCCCUUAAUUAUAUCUCUGAGCGGCAUCGUGCCUGGUCUUUUGACUUUUUUAAGUAUUAUCACUUUAUAGCACAUGGGGGGCCAUUGUAGUUAGAGGUAAGAGCCAUCUGACUAGGCCCUGAGAGUGACAUGGGCUUCUUAGGGAUGAUGUGACUUGAUGUAACCCGAUGGGAUAGCAUAGCAGUCACGCUUGAGGUUCAACUGCUCGGUCGAUGCCCGUGUCCUGAGGUCCCAACUCACAAGUGGGGAUCAUGGUCGGUGGGAGGAUGAGAGCCCGAAGUCAAGACUGGAUGAGCCUAUCAAGUGGUGCCACCCAAUCAUCGAUUUAGGUCGAUCACUAAUCGGAGUAAGAUGAAGGAGAUUGAAAAAAUCCAACAUGAGCAUUCUGCUUACUAGUAGUUCUGGAUUAAGUCAAUUAGCAGAUAAUAUUGGAGAGACAGGUCGGCCAUGGAUCGAUGUUAUUGGAGAGGUACAUCGAUCAUGGGUCAAUAUAACAUUUAACUCAGAUAAUAAUAAUCUACUGCCACGUGUCUAGGUGAUGAUGAGGUCAGACUUAUAAUGAGCUCAAUCUCCUGAUGAGAUCAGCUUUCUGAUGUUCUCGACCUUCUGAUGAGGUCGGCCUCCUGAUGAGGUCAGCUUUUCAAUAAUCUCGAUCUUCUGAUGAGGUCGGCCUUCUGAUGAGAUCGGCCUUCUGAUGAGUUCUUUAGAGGAAGAAAGGUAGUCGGCUAAGCGACGAGGAUCCACCCCAACACUUACCCCCCACUCCUGAGUCUGAUUAUGUAGCCUUAAUCGGGUGAAAGGAGUUAGUCAUCGUGUGGAUCCGAGUUGCUUCUUCGAUGAUCUGCCACUUUGUCGUUUGUAGAACAAGUCAUCAUUUUGUAGAACAUCAUGUUGAAUUUGAAGCAUAGUCAUCGAUCAUUCCAUCUAAUCAGAUCAUUUAUAGUAGAUCAUUUGUCAUAGAUCAUUUGUCGUAGAUCAUUUUAUUGAAUCAAAACUUAGUCAUAGAGAAAAUAUCUUCAUUUUAUUUUGGAUCAAUUGAUCCUUGGUCAAUCGGUAGCAAGCCAACUAACCACAACUUUGUUUGCCUAGGUCUGCAUACAAACCAUAGCUUAUAUGCUUGCGACCCUUGGACCGUAGCUGGUAUGCUUGCAGUUG